UUGUUUGAGACGAAAGAGUGGUACUACUUCUCAUCCAAAUUAGUUAUCGCAGGUAUAAUGUACCUAGAUAGAUUUAGGAUUUUUUUUCCUAAAUUUUUGACAAUUAAUUUGGAUCGGAUGUUUUCUUUCAAGAGCCAUCAACGUGAAACUCGGCGGACGGCUGGAUGCAGCCUGGAGGACAUAGAACCGCGACGUUCAACGGCCAGGAUUCAGAACAAAGUAGCCGCUGGUCUCUGCUGUUCAAGGGUGGCCUCCCGUCCAUGCCGCGCCGCGCCGCCGCUUUGCUUGCCUCCUCCCUCCACCCUCCCACCGCACCGGCGGCCGCCGCCGCGUCGGCGUUUCAUGUCCAGGCUCCUGCCCCGCAUCACCGCUCUCCCCAGCCGCCGCCGCAGCCACAGCCCGGUCAUCUCCCCCGCCCUCGCGGCGUCGCUCGCGCAGCUCCUCGCCACCCGCUCCACCAACCCGGCCUGGGCCCGCUCCCUCGCCGCGCUCCUCCCCUCCCCUCUCUCCGACGGCCGUCUCGCCGACGCCGUCGAGUCCCUGCCCGACCCCGACCUCGCCCUCGCGCUCCUCUCGUGGUCGCGUUCCCACUCCCGCCGCCGCCAUGACGCCAUCCCCGCCGCCACGCCCAUCGCGCACUCCGCCCUCCUGCGCCUCCUCGCCCGGUCCGCACGCUUCGACGCCGUGGAAGCCACGCUCCACGACAUGUCCCACGCGGGCGUCGCGCCCACGCGCGCUUGCCUCGGCGCGCUCGUGGCCGCCUACGCCGACGCCGGGAUGGAAGCGAAGGCCGCCGAGACGUGCGACCGCGUCAGAGCACAACACGGAACGCUCCCUGCGGCGACCCACGUCAACCGCCUCCUCAGGCUCCUUGUCGAGAGGCGGCGGUGGAAGGACGCCCGCAAGCUGUAUGACGAAAUGCUUGCCGAGGAAGGCGGCGCGGACGAUUACAGCACGUGCGUGAUGGUCAGGGGCCUGUGCCUGGAAGGGCGGGUCGAGAAGGGGUUGAAGUUGAUCGAGGCGAGGUGGGGGGCGGGGUGCCUGCCGCAUACCGUGUUCUACAAUGUCUUGAUCGAUGGGUAUUGUCGGCGCGGGGACAUGGGCAGGGCGCUGUUGCUCUUGGGCGAGAUGGAGACGAAGGCGUUACUGCCGACCGUGGUAACGUAUGGGACUCUUAUGAGCUGGCUCGGGAGGAAGGGUGACCUGGAGAAGAUUGCUUGUUUGCUUUCGGAGAUGCGAGAAAGAAGGUUGUCGCCCAAUGUCCAGAUUUAUAACAGUGUCAUUGACGCUUUGUGCAAAUGCCGGUCUGCAGCUCAGGCGAUGGCGGUCUUGAAGCAGAUGUUUGCAAGUGGCUGCGACCCAGAUGUCGUCACUUUUAAUACUUUGAUAUCUGGACUCUGCCGGGAAGGCCGCGUUCUAGAAGCUGAGCGUCUUUUGAGGGAGGCCAUUAGGAGGGAGGUAAACCCAAAUCUAUUUAGCUUUACUUCACUGAUUCAUGGCUUCUGCACUAGGGGAGAAGUGAUGGCUGCAUCCAAUUUGCUUGUGGAAAUGAUGGAAAGAGGGUAUACUCCUGAUGUGGUCACAUUUGGUGCCCUGAUUCAUGGUCUUGUUGUUGCUGGGCAAGUCAGCGAGGCCUUGCUUAUCCGUGAGAAGAUGACAGCGAGACAGCUUAUUCCUGAUGUUAACAUAUACAAUGUAUUGAUUAGUGGCCUAUGCAAGAAGAAGAUGCUUCCUGCAGCUAGGAACCUUCUCGCAGAGAUGCUUGAGCAAAAUAUCCACCCUGAUAAAUUUGUCUACACCACAUUGAUCGAUGGGUUCAUUAGGAGUGAGAGUCUUGGCGAGGCAAGGAAAAUAUUCGAAUUCAUGGAACAAAAGGGUGUCCACCCUGACGUUGUUGGCUAUAAUGCUAUGAUAAAAGGAUACUGCCAGUUUGGAAUGAUGAAUGAGGCUAUUCUAUGCAUGAACAGCAUGAGAAAGGUUGGGUGUAUCCCAGAUGAGUUUACAUAUACUACACUCAUCACUGGCUAUGGUAAACAAGGUAAUAUCAUUGGAGCUCUAAGGUUAUUGUGUGAUAUGAUGAAACGGAGAUGCCGACCAAAUGUUGUUACCUACUCGUCACUAAUAAAUGGAUACUGCAAGCUAGGUGAUACAUAUGCCGCAGAAGGUCUGUUCGCAAACAUGCAAUCUGAUGGCCUGUUUCCAAAUGUGAUAACUUAUACCAUUCUAAUUGGCAGCCUGUUUAAAAAGGAUGAAGUGAUCAAAGCUGAUGUGUAUUUCGAACACAUGUUGCUUAAUCGGUGUUCUCCUAGCGAUAUCACACUGCAUUGCUUAGUUACUGGUCUCACUAACAGUAUGGCUUGUAUCAUCAGUCCAAACUGCAGUAGUACAGUUAAGAUGCAUGACAAACAUGCUCUUUUGGACAUAUUCAAGGGUUUGGUUAAUGACAAAUGGGAUCCAAGAAAUUCAGCUUACAAUUCUAUUAUCUUUAGCAUGUGCAGACAUAAUAUGCUUGGAAAGGCAUUGGACAUAAUAGAUAAGAUGGCAAACAAAGGGUACUCACCAGACUCUGUCACUUUCAUUUCACUUCUGUAUGGCUUUUGUUCUGUUGGCAAAUCAAAGGAUUGGAGGAGCAUCCUUCCGAAUGAAUUUCGGCGAGAUCAACUUGAGAUAGCCUCGAGCAAAUCGAGACAGUAAGAUCAGGAUGGUGUGUAAUAUAUACCUACAGGACAUUCCCACCAGCACUCAAAGUUGGUAAUGCUAUUAGCAUAACUAGAUCUUCCAUGGAAUUGGUCUCACUGAAGCUCGAGAAGAUGCCGUUUUCACAUUUGCGUCCAAAAGGGAAGUGGUCUUCAGUUAAGCAGGUGAAUGAGCUGUGCAUCCAGCUGUAGAGCUACGCUCAGGGUUAUCAGAGCAUAGUGUUCCUGAUAUCUACCAACAUUGGGAGGAGCUUUAUAGAACUGCUUUGGCUGUUGGAAUUUGGUGUACACAAACACUCGACAGCGGUAAGAGUGUCCUGAUUCCAGAAGUUGGCUGAUCUUCCACGAGCCUACAGAUUUGCGAGGAGGAAUUCGGGAUUUCUUGUGAGCAAAAGAAGGUUGACGGAAGCAAUAUCCGUCAUUAGACCUAUACUAGCUAGGGACAGAAAACUAGGGCAUCUACUUCAACUGAAAGUUGCAUCCGCACUCUGGUUUGGUGAGGCCUGGUGCUCUUUCUCAGGACCGAGGACCAAAAAAAUCCUGAGUUUGACUCUAGUGGUAACUGAAAAAACUAUGGAGUGAUGAAAUGGGUCAUGUAGGUACAUCACUUCUAGGGUGUAUAUCACUUCAGCAUACUGAUGGCUGGAACAACAAAAGGUAACACAAGUUAAUACAAACUGUUGGAAUGUUGUAUCAUCACUAGCGAGUAGGGAGGAGCCCAUUAUCUGAAAAGUAUACUAUAGAGCGAUAUCAUCACUGCUGUACAGUAUUCAUCUGAAAUUAAUGAGAAAGAAAAAACCCUGCAGAAUGUUAAACCCCUGUUUCAU